rnacentral:rRNA from 1 species
UACGGAGGGUGCAAGCGUUAUCCGGAUUUACUGGGUUUAAAGGGUGCGCAGGCGGUAAUUUAAGUCAGUGGUGAAAGCCUACAGCUCAACUGUAGAACUGCCAUUGAUACUGGAUUACUUGAGUAUGGUAGAGGUAGGCGGAAUACAACAUGUAGCGGUGAAAUGCAUAGAUAUGUUGUAGAACACCGAUUGCGAAGGCAGCUUACUAAACCAUUACUGACGCUCAUGCACGAAAGCGUGGGGAGCGAACAGG